rnacentral:rRNA from 1 species
UUUUGGACGAUGGGCGAAAGCCUGAUCCAGCCAUUCCGCGUGAGUGAAGAAGGCCUUCGGGUUGUAAAGCUCUUUCGCAACCCAAGAAACGAUGCAGUCGAAUAAACUGUGUUAAUGACGGUACCUUGAUAAGAAGCACCGGCUAACUACGUGCCAGCAGCCGCGGUAAUACGUAGGGUGCAAGCGUUAAUCGGAAUUACUGGGCGUAAAGCGUGCGCAGGCGGUUUUGUAAGUCAGAUGUGAAAUCCCCGAGCUCAACUUGGGAACUGCGUUUGAAACUACAAGACUAGAAUAUGUCAGAGGGGGGUAGAAUUCCACGUGUAGCAGUGAAAUGCGUAGAGAUGGGAGGAAUACCAAUGGCGAAGGCAGCCCCCUGGGAUAAUAUUGACGCUCAUGCACGAAA